CUCUUUAAAAUAAAAUGCCAUAUCUACUUCGUCUUUUUGGCCAUGGCCUCCGCCGAGUUCGCGGAGAUCGAUUCCGAUGCUUCGUCAGUGCCCUCCUCUGGAUCACUGACAUGAGGCGCUGGAGAGAGCCUUUUCCUCCUCCGGUGAGAGAUCAUGAAGGACCGUGAGAUCGGUAGGUCCAGGUGUUUCGGAUUCGUUACCUUCAGCAACGACAAGGACAUGCGGAACGGGAUCCAAGGAUGCCAGAGCCUUCAUUUGAGGACAUUUGAUCUUUGUGGUUGUGCACUAGCUCAUGUUGGUGUGAUGGACUUGCUGUGGUUCCCACGAAUCUACCAUAGGUGACCAUGGGAACAACAUGGAAGCCAACCUCACCACUAUCUAUCAAGAUCACGAUGACUGAUUUGCACCAUUACACCAAUUGAAGUUAUUAGAGGCUGUCUUUUGCAGCAUUCACACUGCCUGACAACUAGUGGACAUUGCCUGUUUUCUCACUGAAUCAGGAAAUAUAUUUUUUCUGAAAGCAAACUGACUACCAGUGCUGCACCUUAUUGCAAUUGAUCUAUAGCCGAUGAAACUUUAGGACGAAGCAGCUGAGUCGGUGGAAUUUCAGUCGAAUACCUUCUCUUUAUUUUUCAGGAAAAAUGUCUGUAAUGUUUCUCCUCCUCCGUCUGUCAUGGUUCCACCACGUUUCUGGUCCAAUAAGCCCAUAUUACCCAAAAAGUUAUAACGAGUCCAAGUACCCCA